AUUGAACGCUGGCGGCAUGCUUUACACAUGCAAGUCGAACGGCAGCGCGGGCUUCGGCCUGGCGGCGAGUGGCGAACGGGUGAGUAAUGCAUCGGAACGCGCCCAGUAGUGGGGGAUAGCCCGGCGAAAGCCGGAUUAAUACCGCAUACGACCUGAGGGUGAAAGCGGGGGACCGAAAGGCCUCGCGCUAUUGGAGCGGCCGAUGUCGGAUUAGCUAGUUGGUGGGGUAAAGGCUUACCAAGGCGACGAUCCGUAGCUGGUCUGAGAGGACGACCAGCCAACGUGGGACUGAGAGCCAGCACGGACGCCUACGGGAGGCAGCAGGGGGGAGUUUGGGAAAAUGGGGGCAACUCCGAUACAGCCAUGCGGCGGGCGGGAAGAACGCCUGCGGGUUGGAAACGGGUUUUGUGCGGGAAGAAAUCAUCUGGGCGAGUACACCGGGGGGAUGACGGGACCGGAAGAAUAAGCAACGGCUAACGACGUG
rnacentral:rRNA from 1 species